rnacentral:rRNA from 1 species
GUCCACGCCCUAAACGAUGGGUACUAGGUGUGAGGGCCUUUAUGGCCUUCGUGCCGCAGCUAACGCAAUAAGUACCCCACCUGGGAAGUACGGCCGCAAGGUUGAAACUCAAAUGAAUUGACGGGGCCCGCACAAGCGGUGGAGCAUGUGGUUUAAUUCGACGCAACGCGAAGAACCUUACCUAGGCUUGACAUCUGGGGAAUCCUUUGGAAACAUGGGAGUGCUCGCAAGAGAGCCCCAAGACAGGUGCUGCAUGGCUGUCGU